UACGGAGGAUGCAAGCGUUAUCCGGAAUUAUUGGGCGUAAAGCGUCCGCAGGCGGCUAGAUAAGUCUGCUUUCAAAGAGUGGGGCUCAACCCCAUAGAGGGAGUGGAAACUGUUUAGCUAGAGUAUGGUAGGGGCAGAGGGAAUUCCCAGUGUAGCGGUGAAAUGCGUAGAUAUUGGGAAGAACACCAGUGGCGAAGGCGCUCUGCUGGACCGAGACUGACGCUGAGGGACGAAAGCUAGGGGAGCGAAAGGG
rnacentral:rRNA from 1 species